CUCAAGCACGAUAAUGAUGUACUGUCCAUCCAUUAUUGGGACUAUGGACGCGGCAUGUUCCACGGUGGAUAAAUAAUAUAUAGUACGUUUUGGGCUUCCACCAGGGACCGUGGCCUGGACAACGGUUCCUGGCCAAUGCAACAUUACCGAUCUCUGUGGUGGCUGGAAUGUGCCGCAUGUCACGGCAUGUGUCCAUUAUGAUUGCGCAUUAUACUGUGUACUGUACGCAGAAGCUCCGGAGGGGGAAGGGGGAUGUUUUGAUAUGGACAUAGACCAAGCUCCUAUUAUUAUGUAUACCGGUUAGCUAGUUUUUGAUUGGGACGGGAAAUACCC
rnacentral:sRNA from 1 species